rnacentral:lncRNA from 1 species
CGCGAGGAGGGCGGGGCGAGCGGCGCGGGCAGGGCGAAGGAGGAGGGGGGGGGAAGGUUCUGGAGGCCGCCGCCAUCUUUGCCGCCGCGUCCGGGGCCGCCGCCGCCGCCGCCGCCGCCGUUUCGGGGCUCAGGGGGGGCCGAAAAACCCAAAUUCCGGGGGUUUUCCCCCCAAAAAACCCCCCGGGAUGGACUCAGGGGGAUCCAAAGCGCUGCCGGACCCGGCGGACGCGAUGACGUCAGACGACUUCGACAUCGUCAUCGAGGCCAUGCUGGAGGCGCCCUACAAGAAGGAGGAGGCCCAGCCCGGCCCCUCCAAGGCCCAACCGGAGCCGCCCCCGGCCCAGCCGCCCCAGGAGGAGCCGAAAGAGGCCAAAAAGGAGAGCGGGAGCAGCAGCCGGAAGAAGCGGAGCCGGAGCCGCGAGCACAGACACAGGUGGGAAAAAUGGGAAUUUUGGGAAAAAAAUGGGAAUUCUGGGUGAAAAAAAUGGGGAUUUUGGGGUGAAAAAUGGGGAUUUUGGGGGAAAAAUGGGAAAUUUGGGAAAAAAUGGGAAUUCUGGGUGAAAAAAAUGGGGAUUUUGGGGGAAAAAUGGGAAUUUUGGGUGGAAAAAUUGGGAUUUUGGGGGGUAAAAUUGGGAUUUGGGGGAAAAAGGGAU